rnacentral:rRNA from 1 species
GAUGAACGCUGGCGGCGUGCCUAAUACAUGCAAGUCGAGCGAACGGACGAGAAGCUUGCUUCUCUGAUGUUAGCGGCGGACGGGUGAGUAACACGUGGAUAACCUACCUCUAAGACUGGGAUAACUACGGGAAACCGGAGAUACUACCGGAUAAUAUUUUGAACCGCAUGGUUCAAAAGUGAAUGGCGGUCUUGCUGUCACUUAUAGAUGGAUCCGCGCUGCCUUAGCUAGUUGGUAAGGUAACGGCUUACCAAGGCAACGAUGCAGAGCCGACCUGAGAGGGUGAUCGGCCACACUGGAACUGAGACACGGUCCAGACUCCUACGGGAGGCAGCAGUAGGGAAUCUUCCGCAAUGGGCGAAAGCCUGACGGAGCAACGCCGCGUGAGUGAUGAAGGUCUUCGGAUCGUAAAACUCUGUUAUUAGGGAAGAACAUAUGUGUAAGUAACUGUGCACAUCUUGACGGUACCUAAUCAGAAAGCCACGGCUAACUUCGUG